UGGAUGAACCUAAACAAUAUCUGUGAUUUCGUUGGUAUCUAAAUUUGUACGAUAAUUAUGGAAGUAUUCUUUCUUAAUUAAUUACUCCAAGACAUACUGAAUAGAAUUUAGACUGCUCUGUUUGGCAAAUUUGUUUGUGAAAAUGGCAUUGUAAAUACUUUUGAUCCAAUCGUGUUCGACAUUGUUGUGCCUAAGAACUAGUCACCAGUCACAUCUAACCAUAUCAACCACACACACAAGACACAGAUAUACGUGGUUCGGCCAAUCUGCCCUACAUCACGAGCAAGGAACCAAUAAGUCACUAUCUUGGAAGAAUACAAUGAGUUCAAUAGGGAGGGAGAUCAUCUCCACUCACCUCAGCACUCGCGAUUCUCUCACGUCUUACUCUCAAGCUACCAAUUUCUAGCUCACUCUUGUCAGAUCUCUCGUUGCUAUCUGUGCUCUCACUAGCACCCAUAGGCAACUGCCCCAAAGACAUCGCCCUCUCUCCAGCCCCUCUGCACACAGUAACAUGCCUGUGUGCUCCCAGUAAUCCCCCGAGGAUUACAUUUCUCUGCACCCGUCUGUCUCUCUGGCAACCUUCUCAAUUUAUGGCCUCAGAGCAGAGAGGAAUGAGCUCAUGGCUGAGGCUCAUCCGUGCCUAAAUUCUUGACCAUGGAGGAGGGAGGGAGCGUCUCAGUCUUCGUCUUCUUUCGGCGGCCUCCUCUGACAGAACUGUCAGAGCUCUCUCCUUUUCUCCUUUUCUCUUUCCCAUUUCUUCCGUCUAGAAGGAAUACAAGAUAGCAUGGUCAUGGGCUGGGCUUGGCUUUGGGCUUGGGUUGGGCUGGGCUUGGGCCUCAGGGGUUGGGAUUGGGCUUUCUUCAUUGGCUGGAUCCCAAACAUCUCCCCUCCAGCCCAUUGGAGGAUAAUCUGUUGUCUUAAAGUUAUCCUUCCGACAACUUCUGAUCCAGCUCUCCUGUAAGAUCUACAAGACAGUAUCCGUGAUACGUUACCCCUCAUCAAGGGCCAACUCCACUUCCACUGAAGUGAAUGAACAACAUCCAAACCGAAGUGCCUGCAAUUUCUCACUCUAGGUGCUCUAAUCCCCCUCACCGGGCUGCGCUUGCAAAGUACGUCACUUUGCAAGUCGUCGUGAUCCAUCUCUCCUCCCUUGUGUGCACAACGUGGAGAGCCACCAUCAUUUAUCUAGAGUGAAAGAGGACUAGUUCGGCGACGUCGCGCCUGUUGCCUGUACAUCGACUCUGUCUCUUCCUCUGAGCUCUCCAUGGACAUCCUGCAUGGUUGCAGCCUUCUCGUGUCUGGCCAGCUUCCGCACGUAUCCCAAAGCAUCUCCUUUGCGUCAUUGUACCACUCCGGAUCCUUCAAGUUACAUACCUCUAAUAUCCGGCACUUGCUUUGCGUGCUUGUGCAACGGUUGCUUCCAGUCCAUUCUUCUCGCUAGUACCACUGGGGCCUAUGUCGGACAACAGAUCAUCUUGUCUGGACACUCCCCUCCAAUCGGUUAUAGCCCUUCAGUCUUCUUCUCUUGCGCAUUUCCUGUUUUCCCUUUGAAAACUCUGAGUAUUCUCCACUAGCUCAAAACUCAUCGCUUCGAAUCUUGCAUCUCAAUGGCAAACAUGCCGACCCCGGUCACCUUCAUGGAUCCCCCGUCUGCAAUGCGGAACCGGACUGUCCUUUGCCAACAAUCGAGUCUUUAGCCAUCCGUACAAGUCCUCGCAUUUGCUACAUGUGUAGAGAACACAUCUUUGUCUCUGCACACGUGGUAAGCCAAUUCCUGAAUCAGAAAUCCAAUCUGACUCUUUCAUCGCCGAUUGUGCUAGGAGAACAUCACUCUCAGUCAAGCCAUCAUUGCUGGUGUUGUGCCGCUGAAGACUGAUCGGUGCUUUGUUCUUGGACAAUUCUUCUUGUCCCUCCUGGGUCGGCAAUAAAAGCACUUAAGCUACGACCUCGGAUUUUGCCCUCGCCUAAUCUGACCGGUUACUCUUCAUUUGACCUCUUCUCUGGACUGUGACCUCCUUCUGAGACUCUUCUAUGGCCUCUUCUUUUGACCUAUCGUGGCUCGCUGGAACUCGCUCGGUGUUCCGCCUGUAGUCCCUCUCUGAAGCUUCAACACAAGCCUCCUCAUUAAGGCUUUGUUAUGAGAUGUCUUCUCCGGUAUAUCUCCUUCAAUUGUCACAAACAUGAGCACUUAUCUCAUUCGUGCUACAGUGGAACACCCCUGUGUUCCAUGCAUGGUCUGAUAUGCAAAACACUCAUCAUCAUCUUGCUACAUGAUGGAACACCUCGUGUCCAAUGCAUUGUCUGAUCUGCCCAAUCGUCUUCCGUUCAUCUCUUCUGUGUCUUCAUCCUUUGUUUUCUAGGGCGUAAUCAUGUAGCUGAAAAGCUGAUCAGAGCUCACAAACUACCUCCGCCAUUCUUACUUUCUCCCAUAUAGAGCAAAAAUAUUGAAAACAACCUCGCGAAUGAAUUCGAAAUGCCGAAGAAAACCAAAAAGGGCUUUUCUAUCAAAAUCAAACACUUCUGGGACCCAAAUUGAAUAAAUUAGAACUUCAGGGACUAAAUUACAAUUUCUCAAACUUCAGGGACCAAUCUGUAAUUAACAAAAAGUCCAGGGACUGAAAAUGUAAUUUACUAUUUUGGUCAACGGUCAACGGUUGACCGGUCAACGUUCAAUCAACGUCGGUCAACGACUGGUCAAUGGUCAACGGCUUGGUCAACUCAGCUUGGCUCGUGGUCAACGGCUCGGUCAACGCUAGUCAACAGCUCAGGUUGACCGGUCAACGACUUGACUGGUCAAACCUAUGGUUGAAUUUUUUUUUUUUUAAAUCCCAACAUCAUCAUUGCCUUUUUUCUUUUCUCUUUUUCUUUCAUAAUGAUGUCUCCCAUAGUCUUUUUCUCUAAUUGACCCCGGGCAAGAGCGUGGGGCGCGUGCAGGCGCAUGGGUCACUUCCCGGGCGCGUGGGGGUGCAUGGCGCGUGAAUUCUAGUCGUCUUCUACCUCUGGCGCGUGGGGCGCGUGGGAUCUGACGAGCCGAACUUCAAACGGCGAGUUGAGGGCUCGUUUGAACUCGAUUGGAAUCCGGUUUGGCUGGAGCUUCAUUUCGGACGAGACGAAUCUGGUAGUAUGCUCAAACGCCAUUUUUGAGCACUUCGGGAUUUGGUCAGAAUUCAAAAUCGGCUUCCGUUUCGCCGCCGACCACCUCGCUACGGUGAAUAGAACUUAGCUUUGAUCCAAUUGUUGUGCCCAAGGAUAGUACCAGUUCACUCGAACCAUAUCAACUACAAAAACAAGAACAAAUAUAAGUGUUCGGCCAAUCUGCCUACAUCCACGGAGAGGAACCAAUUAAUUCACUAUCUUUGGAAUGAAUUACAAUGAGUACAAUAGGGAGGAGCUCAUCUCCUCCCUCUCAGCACUCUCGCAUCUCUCACUGUCGUGCUCUCAACAGAUACCAAUUCUAGCCCACUCUCUGUCAGAUCUCUCAGUGCGCUCUGGUGCUCUCAUAGCACCCUAGCACUCCCCCCCAAAUACAUAGCCCUCUCUCCCAGCCCCUCUGCACACAGCAACAUGUAGUGUGCUCCCAGUAAUACCCCGAGAUACAUUUCUCUGACACCGUUGUCAGUUCUCUGGCAACUUCUCAAUUUAUAGGCCUCAGAGCAGAGAAGAUGACUCAUGGCUGAGAUCAUACGUGCCUCCAUUUCUGACCAUGGAGGAUGGGAUGGGAGCGUCUCAGUCUCGUCUUUUUCGGCGCCUCCUCUGACCGAACUGUCAAGCUUCUCUUCCUUUUCAUCUCUUCCUUCCCCUCUCUUCCGUCUAGAGGAAUAUAAGAUAGCAUGGUAAUGGGCUUGGGUUGGGCUUGGGCCUCAUGGGUUGGGUUUGGCUUUGCUUACAUUGGGCUCGAUCCAACAGAGAUCCAAUCUCUGUCCUCUUCAAUCACUACAAUCUUGUUUUGGGCACAACAAUGGUAUCCGAGCCAAGUUCGAAUAACCAGAGUGCCACCGGAGUAAACUUUUGAAUUCUAACCAAAUCCGAAGUGCGCUCAAAAACUGGCGUUUGAGCAUACCACCAGAUUCGUCUCAUUGAAAACAAAAACUCCAGCACCAAACAGAUUCAAAAUCGGAAGUUUCAAACAAGCCCUCACGCAGAGUUGAAGUUGGCGCUGCUCAGAUCACCCGCCCCACUUCGCGCCAGAGGUAGAAGGACGACUGGGAAUUCACACGCCAUUGCACCCCCACGCGCCCCAGGAAGGGUGGACCAUGCGCCUGCACGCGCCCCACGCUCUUGCCCGGGUUCAAUUAGAGAAGAAAAAGGACAACCAAUGGGAGACAUUAUUAUGAAAGAAAAGAGAAAAAGAAAAAGGCAAUGAUGAUGUUGCGGAUUUAAAAAAAAAACAAUUCAAACACCAUAGUUUGACCAGUCAGCCGUUGGACCGGUCAAACCCGAGCCGUUGACUAGGUUUUGGACCAAGUGAGUUGCACCAAGCCGUUGGCCUUGACCAUCGUGACCGACGGUGACUGAACGUUUUGACCGGUCACCGUGCCGUUGACCCCAAAUAGAAUUCACUUUCAGUCCCUGGACUUAUGUUAAUUACAGAUGAUUCACCUCAAUUUGAGAAAUUGCCAAUUUCGUCCAUGAAAUUCUACUUGUGUGGAGAACAAAAGGUGUCGGAGAAGAAGUAAUUUGCAUGUAAAGGUUCUAAGCAAAUUACUUCUCCAUCUGACACUGUCCCCUGCCUCUUGUCCCCACGACAAUUACUUUUAUACUGUUUUCUCUCCUUUUAAAUUACAAUCAAACCAAACCACCCCUCCUAUGUUUCUUUUCUCUUUUUUUUCAAUUUUGUUUUUUUUAUUUAAUUAUUUUUAUUUUAUUAGUUUUUUAUUUUUUAAAUUAUUUUAUUAUUAUUAUUAUUUUGUUUAACUUUUAACAUGUCAGAACCUCAUCUCCCUUUAAAUAACCCACAACCCUUGACACAUGUCAAACCUCCUUUUCCCUCUCCCUUUAAA
rnacentral:lncRNA from 1 species